AUUGAACGCUGGCGGCAGGCCUAACACAUGCAAGUCGAACGAGCGGCGGACGGGUGAGUAAUGUCUGGGGAACUGCCCGAUGGAGGGGGAUAACUACUGGAAACGGUGGCUAAUACCGCAUACUAUCGGAUGUACCCAUAUGGGAUUAGCUAGUAGGUGGGGUAAAGGCUCACCUAGGCGACGAUCCCUAGCUGGUCUGAGAGGAUGAUCAGCCACAAGGGGACUGAGACACGGUCCAGACUCCUACGGGAGGCAGCAGUGGGGAAUAUUGCACAAUGGGCGCAAGCCUGAUGCAGCCAUGCCGCGUGUAUGAAGAAGGCCUUAGGGUUGUAAAGUACUUUCAGCGGGGAGGCGUUACCCGCAGAAGAAGCACCGGCUAACUCCGUGCCAGCAGCCGCGGUAAUAC
rnacentral:rRNA from 1 species